GCAUAAUGAUUUACAUAAGCACAGUCGCAUGAAAGGUAUAAAGAUGGCUUAAAAAUUUCAUUAGCAUGACUUAUGAAAAUUCUAAGUGACUCGAUGGCCAUUUUUUCCUCCGAGUCAUAAGUCAAACUUAUGAUUUUCAUAUGGGAUACUUGUGGCGCCGAAUCAUAAGUGAUUCUUAUGGAAUUCAUUAGUUAUUUUAUCUCGGUGUACUUUUACCAAUAUUUUUCUCUGUGUGGGUCAAAUCUCGAGUGGGUUUUCAAUCAGGUGUAAGUCACCAAAUGUAAACAAAGCGAGUUUUUGGUGCAAGUGUUUUAAAAAAUCGCAAAAGUCCUCCUAAUUUAGCUAAUUAUAAUUGAUUACUAAAGAUGUUUGAAGUUAUUUUUGCAAACCGAUAAAACUUUCCUGUUCACACUUUUCAGAAUUAUUGCGGAUACGCCACAUUGAUAACGAACCGAUGUAUCUGUCAAAUUGACCAGCUGGUAGCUGUGCAGAAAGUGCAGAUACGUAAGCGAAGUAUAAAAGUUUUGCACCUAGUCGAACUUCGUUACUAAAAUGUAUACAAACGCGAGUGAGUAUUUUGUUAUCGGUUACUUCUGUACUUUCCGUACGAGUACAUUUACCCGAAGCAGUACGCGUACACAUGCUGGAGCUGAAACGAACUUUCGGUGUAAAAGUGUCCUGUGAAGAUGUUCUCGAGGAUGGGUAAUACGAUCACCAUGCUCUGCACUUUGUUCGUAAGCUGACCUACUGUUCGCGUACCGUGCUGGAGGUCUAAAUAAUUAUCGCUGAACUCAUAUGUACUACGGGAAUGAGAUAGGCGUGAUGCCACAUAUCACGGGGUUGAUUUUUAGUUCGCGAAAUAAAUGCAAUGUGCGACGGAAAUAUUGUCGAUGCCAAGUGCUCCGGUAUGACGGCCCUAUACCCAGAAGCGAAACUCAACGGAAGCGUUUAUUGUGGAGACUGGUACCUCACGAAGCUUUCCAAAAGGAUUGAAAGGAGCCUAAAAUACCGCUGGGGGUUCAUUCGAUUGAUGAUUUGAACGACUUUGGAGUUGUGAUCAAUCAGGCGCAGCUGGCCGUUUAUUGCAUGUUUCUAAAGAAAUAUUUUUAAAUUAAAAAAUAUAUUUUGGUCGGAGCAUUGUUUUCUUUGAACUCUAAGGCCCGAUUUCUUCACCCUCGCUUAACUUCUAAACCCAGUACACCAGUAUAUUUAAACCUGGCUUAAGCGUUAAGCGAGGGUAAAGAAAUCGGCCUUAAGAGGAAUAGUAGAGAGUGUUACCUGUUCAAGUGAUGAUGCGAAUAGAAUUAAAAUAAAAUUGUGUCUGUGA